AAAAAGAACCUGAAACCGUGUACGUACAAGCAGUGGGAGCACAGGUUUACCUGUGUGACUGCGUACCUUUUGUAUAAUGGGUCAGCGACUUAUAUUCUGUAGCAAGGUUAACCGAAUAGGGGAGCCGUAGGGAAACCGAGUCUUAACCGGGCGUUAAGUUGCAGGGUAUAGACCCGAAACCCGGUGAUCUAGCCAUGGGCAGGUUGAAGGUUGGGUAACACUAACUGGAGGACCGAACCGACUAAUGUUGAAAAAUUAGCGGAUGACCUGUGGCUGGGGGUGAAAGGCCAAUCAAACCGGGAGAUAGCUGGUUCUCCCCGAAAGCUAUUUAGGUAGCGCCUCGUGAAUUCAUCUCCGGGGGUAGAGCACUGUUUCGGCUAGGGGGCCAUCCCGGCUUACCAACCCGAUGCAAACUGCGAAUACCGGAGAAUGUUAUCACGGGAGACACACGGCGGGUGCUAACGUCCGUCGUGAAGAGGGAA
rnacentral:rRNA from 1 species